CAGAUUGAACGCUGGCGGCAGGCCUAACACAUGCAAGUCGAGCGGUAGAGAGAAGCUUGCUUCUCUUGAGAGCGGCGGACGGGUGAGUAAUGCCUAGGAAUCUGCCUGGUAGUGGGGGAUAACGUUCGGAAACGGACGCUAAUACUGCAUACGUCCUACGGGAGAAAGCAGGGGACCUUCGGGCCUUGCGCUAUCAGAUGAGCCUAGGUCGGAUUAGCUAGUUGGUGGGGUAAUGGCUCACCAAGGCGACGAUCCGUAACUGGUCUGAGAGGAUGAUCAGUCACACUGGAACUGAGACACGGUCCAGACUCCUACGGGAGGCAGCAGUGGGGAAUAUUGGACAAUGGGCGAAAGCCUGAUCCAGCCAUGCCGCGUGUGUGAAGAAGGUCUUCGGAUUGUAAAGCACUUUAAGUUGGGAGGAAGGGCCAUUACCUAAUACGUGAUGGUUUUGACGUUACCGACAGAAUAAGCACCGGCUAACUCUGUGCCA
rnacentral:rRNA from 1 species